rnacentral:rRNA from 1 species
UACGGGGGGGGCAAGCGUUGUUCGGAAUUACUGGGCGUAAAGGGCGCGUAGGCGGCCUGCUAAGUCGGAUGUGAAAUCCCUCGGCUCAACCGAGGAACUGCAUCCGAUACUGGCGGGCUUGAAUCCGGGAGAGGGAUGUGGAAUUCCAGGUGUAGCGGUGAAAUGCGUAGAUAUCUGGAGGAACACCGGUGGCGAAGGCGGGUCUCUGGGCCGAUACUGACGCUGAGGAGCGAAAGCGUGGGGAGCGAACAGG